rnacentral:rRNA from 1 species
UACGAAGGACCCGAGCGUUGUCCGGAUUUAUUGGGUUUAAAGGGUGCGUAGGCGGCCAGGUAAGUCAGUUGUGAAAUCCUGUUGCUUAACAACGGAACUGCCAUUGAUACUGCCGAUCUUGAGUACAUAUGAUGUGGGCGGAAUGUGCCAUGUAGCGGUGAAAUGCUUAGAUAUGGCACAGAACACCGAUUGCGAAGGCAGCUCACAAAACUGUUACUGACGCUGAGGCACGAAAGCGUGGGGAUCAAACAGG